AUAACAAAGAGAAGGGGGAAUAUGUGUUUUUGAUUGUUAUUUAGGUUCCAAGUUGUAUGCUUUUGACCUGGUGAUCCUCAAAAUUGAUAGACUUUUGAUAGUAAGGGGAUAUGGUUGCGAAAGCAUGGCAAUGAUAGAGGCUACAAACCUACUUCAAAGAAUGACUUUUCACAGCACAAUUAUCUUACUAUGCGCAAAUAAUGAUAUGCAUAUCGAGGGGGUAAGACAGCGCCCACAGCAGGCUAGAGCGGCGCCUACAAGAGGGAAAAGGAUGCACAUGUUUUCAUAAGAAUUCAAGUGCAUGGGAGAGAAGUGGCUGGGCUACAACAGGCUAGAGUGGCCUUGGGUUAGGCUAGGGUAAGGGGCUUUUGCUGGGCUACCCCUUCUUGUCCCCGUCUAGCCUGUGGCUGGGAGCUUCGGCUGAGCUACCCCUUCUUCUCCCCGGCUAGUCUUCAGUUGGGUCUUGGGUUUAGCAUAUUUUGCUUGCCCAUCAAUUUUAAUCAUAAGAGAACGAGAGAGUGGAUGGUCACUAAGGCUCUGGUACAGUUAAAGAACCGUCUAAGAAA